rnacentral:rRNA from 1 species
AUAGCGUCAAAGCUUAAUUGUUCUAGUGUUCAAUUUUACAAACAUUAUUUUAAUCCUCCAUCUCUAUUGAGUAAUUCUAUAUGUUUAUAGAAAAUUUUAUUUGAAACUAGUAACAAGAAGAAGACCUUCUCUUUAAUGUAAGUGUUAAUCAGAAAGGACAAACCACUGAUACUUAACAUCAUUGAACUAAAAACAGUAACUCACCAAGAAAAUCCUAUUUUUAUUUAUGUUAACCUAACACAAGAGCACUCUAAGAAAGAUUAAAAGAAAAAGAAGGAACUCGGCAAACAUUAACCUCGCCUGUUUACCAAAAACAUCGCCUCUUGAGCCCUAUAAGAGGUCCAGCCUGCCCAGUGACUCUGUUCAACGGCCGCGGUAUCCUAACCGUGCGAAGGUAGCGUAAUCACUUGUUCUUUAAAUGCGGACUAGUAUGAAUGGCACUACGAGGGUUAUACUGUCUCCUUUUUCUAAUCAGUGAAAUUAAUCUUCCCGUGAAGAAGCGGGGAUGUGAUUAUAAGACGAGAAGACCCUAUGGAGCUUAAGACAACCCAGCAAUUACUUUAAAAACUACAAAUUUCAGAAUCCCCAUUUUUUAAGUCAUAUGUCUGCAAGUCUUUGGUUGGGGUGACCAUGGAGUAUAAUACAACCUCCACAUUGAAUGAAUUCCCUUCUAAGCCAAGAAUUACUAAUUAAAGCAUCAACACAUUGACAUCUAUUGACCCAAUAUAUUUGAUCAACGAACCAAGUUACCCUAGGGAUAACAGCGCAAUCCACUUCAAGAGCCCCUAUCGACAAGUGGGUUUACGACCUCGAUGUUGGAUCAGGGUAUCCCAGUGGCGCAGCCG